rnacentral:tRNA from 1 species
GAACGUUAAAUAGAUUUUCUAUGCCCGACUACGGAUUGGGAAGAUUUUUCGUUUUG